GAGGAAUAUUGGUCAAUGGCCGGAAGGCUGAACCAGCCAUCCCGCGUGCAGGAUGACGGCCCUAUGGGUUGUAAACUGCUUUUGUACCUGAAGAAACCUGGUUACGUGUAACCAGUUGCCGGUAAGGUAUGAAUAAGCAUCGGCUAACUCCGUGCCAGCAGCCGCGGUAAUACGGAGGAUGCAAGCGUUAUCCGGAUUCAUUGGGUUUAAAGGGUGCGCAGGUGGGAAAAUAAGUCAGUGGUGAAAUACUGCCGCUUAACGGUAGAAUUGCCAUUGAUACUGUUUUUCUUGAGUAUGGUUGAGGUAGGUGGAAUGUGUUGUGUAGCGGUGAAAUGCAUAGAUAUGACACAGAACGCCGAUUGCGAAGGCAGCUUACUAAGCCAUUACUGACACUGAGGCACGAAAGCGUGGGGAUCGAAC
rnacentral:rRNA from 1 species